UGGGCUUUUUCUACGGCAAGAUUGACACCCGCUUUUAUUACAUUGAAUUCAUACUGACAGGCAGAUCAUAAAGGCUUACAGGCUAACCAGUUUCAGAGAAUUUGCCUUCUCUUGCAGGGUAUCAAGCAGACUAUCAAAGCUCUUCUUGAAAGAAUCCACUCCUUCAACUUCAAGCUGAUUGCCCACGUAGCCCCAAUCAAUUCCCAACUUCUCAAGUGCGUUGUAGAUUCCUUCGGCUUCAGAAACAUUUGAGUCGAUUGUCCUUG
rnacentral:lncRNA from 1 species